GCAAGUGCUCAGUCCAAGUUGGGCAAGUUGCUGUUUGUAACUUCUUUCUAUGAAAGUGUGAUAUGGGUUCUCCCCUAAACUUCUUUUAGAACGAAACCUACCUGCAGCCAUCUCUGGAGUUAUACAGCCACAGCUGGACCAGCACUGCCACACCUUCCAUGUGUGACGCUCUCUUUGGAAACACAGACUUAGCUGGAACCCACCUGCCUGCCUGCUGAUUCUCCUUAGAGUCACCUUCUCUCUGUCUCUGAGCCUAGCCUGCCCACCAUCAACCCCCUCUCUCAGUUCAACGUCCUGCCUGGACAAUUAAGAUUACAGAGACUGUGACAACGUUCAUCAUAAACAUCCUUUAGCACUGGCUGCCAUUAACUGUCUCCCUCCCUUUCUGCACAUCCUCCAUGGGCCCUACUAUUGCUGCCACUC
ensembl:lncRNA